rnacentral:rRNA from 1 species
AAUGUAAUUCCUACAAUUCCAAUUGAAAUUAUCCCAUUAGAACGCUAUAGUUCAAUGCGCUUAGGCUAGAGUAGUACUAGGAUAGGUGACCUCCUAGGAAGUUCUAGUGUUUUACAAGC